CCGAUUAGCUAGUUGGUAGGGUAAAGGCCUACCAAGGCGACGAUCGGUAGCUGGUCUGAGAGGAUGAUCAGCCACACUGGGACUGAGACACGGCCCAGACUCCUACGGGAGGCAGCAGUGGGGAAUUUUGGACAAUGGGCGCAAGCCUGAUCCAGCCAUGCCGCGUGAGUGAAGAAGGCCUUCGGGUUGUAAAGCUCUUUCGGCCGGAACGAAAUCGACUAGGCCAAUACCCUGGUCGGAUGACGGUACCGGAAGAAGAAGCACCGGCUAACUACGUGCCAGCAGCCGCGGUAAUACGUAGGGUGCAGGCGUUAAUCGGAAUUACUGGGCGUAAAGCGUGCGCAGGCGGCUUCCUAAGUCAG
rnacentral:rRNA from 1 species